rnacentral:rRNA from 1 species
CCUACGGGCGGCAGCAGUGAGGAAGAUUGGUCAAUGGGCGCUAGCCUGAACCAGCCAAGUAGCGUGAAGGAUGACUGCCCUAUGGGUUGUAAACUUCUUUUAUAUGGGAAUAAAGUGCAGUAUGUAUACUGCUUUGCAUGUACCUUAUGAAUAAGGAUCGGCUAACUGCGUGCCAGCAGCCGCGGUAAUACGGAGGAUCCGAGCGUUAUCCGGAUUUAUUGGGUUUAAAGGGAGCGUAGGCGGGUUGUUAAGUCAGUUGUGAAAGUUUGCGGCUCAACCGUAAAAUUGCAGUUGAUACUGGCAGCCUUGAGUACAGUAGAGGGAGGCGGAAUUCGUGGUGUAGCGGUGAAAUGCUUAGAUAUCACGAAGAACUCCGAUUGCGAAGGCAGCCUGCUGGACUGUAACUGACGCUGAUGCUCGAAAGUGUGGGUAUCAAACAGGAUUAGAUACCCGGGUAGUC